UACUUCUUGGUGUAUGAUGCACAAGACUUUUUGAUGGUCUUGGAACAGUUUGACUCUGUAAGUAGUAA
rnacentral:tRNA from 1 species